rnacentral:rRNA from 1 species
GGCGAACGCUGGCGGCGUGCUUAACACAUGCAAGUCGAACGGGCCUUGUCCCCUUUUUUUUUGGGGGUGGGGUUAGUGGCGAACGGGUGAGUAACACGUGAGUAACCUGCCCCUCACUUCUGGAUAACCGCUUGAAAGGGUGGCUAAUACGGGGUGUUCUGGCCUGCUCGCAUGGGUGGGUUUGGAAAGAUUCGACCGGUUUUGGUUGUUUUGGUGGGGGAUGGGCUCGCGGCCUAUCAGCUUGUUGGUGGGGUGAUGGCCUGCCAAGGCUUUGACGGGUAGCCGGCCUGAGAGGGUGGGCGGUCACACUGGGACUGAGACACGGCCCAGACUCCUACGGGAGGCAGCAGUGGGGAAUAUUGCACAAGGGGCGCAAGCCUGAUGCAGCGACGCCGCGUGAGGGAUGGAGGCCGUCGGGUUGUGAACCUCUUUCGCCAGUGAAGAAGGUCCUGCUCUUUGUGGUGGGGUUGACGGUAGCUGGGUUAAUGAAGCGCCGGCUAACUACGUG